UGAUAUAUAUUGUAAAUAGUUAUGUAAGCUCGGUUAAUGUGCAGGUAAAUCUUCGAAUUCUUAUGCAGAUUUAGAUGAGGUCGAAUAGGGGAUUGAUUAUGCCAGCACUUCUAUAAUGUUUGAUACAACCUCAAAUAAAGCUGAAACAACGCCUAUUCAAUGACCUGCUUAUGGAGGAGGAGACGCGAGAAGCAAUGGAGCAGUCAGAAGUGGGGCUCCUUAAAUAAGCGUUGCCCAUUGAAGUACGAAAAAUUGGAGUUGGCUGAGUUAACUAAGAUUAAUGAUUUCUUAGAUUUAUGAUCAUUUUCGCAAUGGGUCUGUCAAACGAUGCCUGCUCCAGCUGUUCAGCUAUGCAGGUGAACAACUAUGCAUUAACAAUACAUUCAAAGCAUAGCUCAAGAAAGUAACUCAAUGUCUCAAAAUGCAGCUCAACGUAUAUUAAUAUAGAUUGAAAGUUUUCUUUACAAUCUUUAAAACAUCGGAUUGAUAACGGUUGGUUAAUGUAGAAGAUAAGAUCUCAAUUCAUUUUCUACAUUAAUUAGAUAAAAAUUAUUAGUCUUAUUGCAU